GCAGUAAUGAAUAUAUAUAUAUAUAUAUAUAUAUAUAGAGUUGAGCUAGAAUACUCUCGAUAGUAAACGGAGCAUAUUACUAUCGAGUUGUUUUCGAUGAUAGAGCUUCCAAAUUGACGAUCGGCUCCGUUAAAUAUGAUCUAAACCAUUUAAACUAUCUAAAAAUCAAAUUUCACGCAGUUUCGAUAUUGUUCUUUUAUCCAUCUAGUGAACAGAAUAUGAAUGGUUGAAAAUGAAUAUUCUUUAAAAAAUGAUGAUAGGAGUCUUGUAAUCAAGAUCAAGAGUAUAGAUCUUGUUUUAAAUAGUUUAAAGAAUUUUCUAACAAAAAUUCAAUUGAUUUGGAU
rnacentral:lncRNA from 1 species